GUGAAGUGUGUGCAGGAGGGGGGGGUAAUACGGGGGUGGCAGACGUUAGGUGGAAUUACUGGGGUUAAAGCGCGCGUAGGCGGCUGGGUAAGUCGAUGGUGAAAGCCCCGGGCUCAGCCGGGGAAUUGCAGUCGAGACUGCCUGGCUAGAGUGUGGGAGAGGGCAGUGGAAUUCCCGGUGUAGCGGUGAAAUGCGUAGAUAUCGGGAGGAACAUCAGUGGCGAAGGCGACUGCCUGGCCCAACACUGUCGCUGAGGUGCGAAAGCGUGGGUAGCAAACAGGAUUAGAUACCCCUGUAGUC
rnacentral:rRNA from 1 species